CUGUGCUGCAGACACUGUACCAAAACAAACCAAGGUUUUGCUGACACUCUUUGCUCUCCAAGUGGAUUCUCAUUUUCAGAAAGGAUCAAUACAUCUUCCACUACAAAAAGUCAACAGGACUUCAUGGGGGAGGAACUUCCUGAGACCUCUUCCUGAAGAAAGUUUUGGCUGCAGAUGGAUUAUUAGGACUUUUUGAUGAUGGAAAUUUGAGGCACCUGAAGUCCACCUGAAUCUUGGCCCAAGGAGCACAGAAGGACAUUGUCAGGCGCAGGUCCAGUGACAGGAAAAAAAAACUGGCUGGGGCUCAAAGGAAACAAAUGUCUCUCAUAUGUCUCUA